UGGCUGCAGCUCUGAUUGGACCCCUAGCCUGGGAACUUCCAUAUGCUACCACACUGAGUGGGAUAAUUCAGAGGCAUUUAUUUUGCAUCAUCACCCAGGGUCUCCAAGUGGAGUUAAAUUCCAGUUUCCCUCUAUGACUUCAUUGGCUUCCUUCCUUUCCCUGUGUUACUUCCCCAAUCCCCUCUCCAUUGCUAUGUACCACUUAAAUGACUCACACUGAAUCCUUGCUUUGCUUUGGGCUGGCUUCUGGGAGAAUAUAAACUAAGACAUGGGCUUUAUAAAUUUCUUACCACACAUAUAUUAGACUACUAUAUAUCAGGUCUCCAUGUGUGUACACACCUGAGCACAUAGUUUCUCCAUCUCCAAAGUUCACGAGGAGGAGUGAUGCCACAAGGCUGUUCUCCCAUCCCAGCCUUCCAAUUGUCCAUGCAGAGGUCACAAGAGCUGGAUCAGACUGGAGGGUCUGGGGAGCUGCACUCAGAAAACAAUCAGGGGUCUAUUUGGCUGUUUGCAGGAGACACGAUCUUAACUCUUUGUCACCCCACCCUGAAAAAUACCAGUUAAUCAGUCCCAGAAAGGUGUUAGGAUUAUUCUAGGUUCCUAAACUGAGUCUUUAGCAUCUUGUGCCCUUGUGUAAUCUGUUUGAGCAGGACUGCCCCUGCAACCUCCAGGAGAACUUUCUUCUGGUUUCCAGACAUUCCUGCCUCUCCCUAUGCCCAAAAAUGCAGGGUUCAGGUGGGGGUGGGGAGGGGGCUUAUUUUUGGUGGCUGAAAUGUUGACUAAGUUAUGUCUUGCCUUAAAUACGUUGUUUCUCCCAAGGGAGCUCACAGACUAUUGGGAAAAAUCGAGGGAAAGUGAGGGAGCUGCAUCUUUGCAUGGAAAUUCUUAUCAAAAUACUUCAUUUCUACUGAGCUUUUCAUAUAUAAGGCUCCCCACUUCUUGAGUCUACUCCCUUCUGCCAUUCAUAGCGAUUCUACUCAUGGCGGUCCUCUCUGUCAACACAGUGAGUACUUAAACCUCUUGGUACGAAGUCAGGAAGCACAUGCACUGACCCAUCACAAUGGAAGCCACCUCAGCCUGUAGCAAAGUCAGUUUCUUCUGCACAGGGGGUAGGGUGUGGCAUUCAGGUAGAAGAGUCUGGGAUACCUCACGGCACUUGGGCUGGGAUUUCAAUGUGUCAGUGGAUUCUCCCUGCUUCCCCUGUCCUUCACACACCUGUCCACAGAGAUGCUGCAGGUCACCUGGGGAAUGUAGAAUUCCUUUUUUUUUUUUUUUUUAGGAGGAGAAGCUGGUGGUCUCCUAGAUGGUGUGUCAGGCUUCUCUUGCAAGCUCCUUCUCUCUGUGUGUAUAACUGCUGGCAUGGGGUUCGGUGACACAGCAAUGACUGAGCCGAUGAGACGGAGUGGAGGAGAAUCAAGUGACCUUCACAAGGGAAACUCAAUUGUCCCCUUAACAAUGGUGUCCAGUCCUUUACAAGCCAUCAUCACUUACAAAUGAUUUGGUGCCAGUGUAUUAAGUGAUAUCUGAUGACACCAGGUAUAUCAAUCAAUUCCUUGCUUUUCUGUUUUCUUCCUUUCACAGGUACUGGGACGUGCCCCUCCGCCUUCCAUACUUGGCAUCUGGGGACUUCUAAUAGGAAAUGGCACUUCAGGUGGCAGUGUGGAAAGGAAGGGGACACAGUGAAGGAACAUGGAGGAUGCUGGGUGUCAUAAGAUCCCAUAAGCUUAGAGUCCUUCAAGACCUCUGAUUUCCCCACCUGGAUAAUAAGGAUCCUGUGACUUUGGUUUUUGUAGGUUUGGGGGGAGCUUUUAAAAUUCCUCUCAGGGAGUUUCCACUGUGGCUCACUGGGUUAAGAAUCUGACUAGUAUCCAUGAGGAUGCGGGUUCGAUCCCUGGCCUUACUCAGUGGGUUAAGGAUCCGGUGUUGCCGUGAGCUGUGGUAUAGGUCACAGAUGUAGCUCAGAUCCUGUGUUGCUGUGGCUGUAUGUAGGCUGGCAGCUGCAGCUCCGAUUGGACCCCAGGCUUGGGAACUUCCAUGUGCCACAGGUGCAGCCCUAAAAA
rnacentral:lncRNA from 1 species